GUGCACGCUUUGGCAGGACAUAUAUUAAAACUGGAACAAUACAGAGGAGACUAGCAGGGCCCCUGCACAAUGGUGACAUGCAAAUUUGUGAAGCAUUCCAGAUUUUU